UCUGCUGUCUGAAACACCAUGAAGCCUGAAUGGACCCUCUUUUCUCUGUGGUUCCUCAUCUUUUCCAUGAUCCUCCGCACACUUUCAGGGGAAGCAAUUCCUCUACCACUCAGAAAAGAAUUGUGUGAAAGUGGACAUCUUGGAGUCAAACCAGAAUACUGCAACUAUCCUCCAGUGGCGGGCACCUGUAAGUUAAGUUUGACCAGAUUCUAC